rnacentral:rRNA from 1 species
UACGUAGGGUGCAAGCGUUGUCCGGAAUUAUUGGGCGUAAAGAGCUCGUAGGCGGUCUGUUGCGUCGGGAGUGAAAACUUACAGCUUAACUGUGAGCGUGCUUUCGAUACGGGCAGACUUGAGGCAUUCAGGGGAGAACGGAAUUCCUGGUGUGAGCGGUGAAAUGCGUAGAUAUCAGGAGGAACACCAAUUGCGAAGGCAGCUCGCUGGGACGUGACUGACGCUGAGACGCGAAAGCGUGGGGAGCAACAGG